CGCGUGAGGGACGACGGCCUUCGGGUUGUAAACCUCUUUUAGCAGGGAAGAAGCGAAAGUGACGGUACCUGCAGAAAAAGCACCGGCUAACUACGUGCCAGCAGCCGCGGUAAUACGUAGGGUGCAAGCGUUGUCCGGAAUUAUUGGGCGUAAAGAGCUCGUAGGCGGUUUGUCGCGUCUGCUGUGAAAACGCGAGGCUCAACCUCGCGCCUGCAGUGGGUACGGGCAAACUAGAGUGCGGUAGGGGAGAUUGGAAUUCCUGGUGUAGCGGUGGAAUGCGCAGAUAUCAGGAGGAACACCGAUGGCGAAGGCAGAUCUCUGGGCCGUAACUGACGCUGAGGAGCGAAAGCAUGGGGAGCGAACAGGAUUAGAUACCCUGGUAGUCCAUGCCGUAAACGUUGGGAACUAGAUGUAGGGACCAUUCCACGGUUUCUGUGUCGCAGCUAACGCAUUAAGUUCCCCGCCUGGGGAGUACGGUCGCAAGACUAAAACUCAAAGGAAUUGACGGGGGCCCGCACAAGCGGCGGAGCAUGCGGAUUAAUUCGAUGCAACGCGAAGAACCUUACCAAGGCUUGACAUAUACGAGAACGGGCUAGAAAUAGUCAACUCUUUGGACACUCGUAAACAGGUGGUGCAUGGUUGUCGUCAGCUCGUGUCGUGAGAUGUUGGGUUAAGUCCCGCAACGAGCGCAACCCUCGUC
rnacentral:rRNA from 1 species